rnacentral:lncRNA from 1 species
UGAACGCCUGAUAAUCUGGCCUUGUGGUUGUACCUGGCCAUGAUCUCUUGGUCUACCCUGCUCGGUUGCUGUGGAACUGGGUCCUGGCUGGUGAGGUCCCUGCCUUGCUGAGAGGUGUUGUGCUCAGCUCCUGGCUCUCCAUCCAUUAGGGAGCAGCUGGCUUGUGCUGCUUCCUGACUGAUCUGGGGUUUGUCUUCAUACAGCUUGCCAGUGCUGGCGUGAAACUGUGCCACUUUGUGCACUCACAGCUGAGCAGAGGCAGAGCCUGUGGAAAUGUGUGGUCCCUAGGCACUGGUCAGGUGCGUGCAGACAGCAGGAGAUGUGUGUGACUGCAGGCACAGAGAGGGAACUACAGAGGUGAUGCAAAAAUUGGGAAGACUCCUUGCUCAGUGUGUGUGAGAGAGAGGAUGCCCUUGGUCAUACUGUGCUUUGUCUGCACGAGAGAGGAGCAUUUCCCUCCAGGUAAAGGGAGCUGUGUGCACAGAGCAG